rnacentral:rRNA from 1 species
CCUUGAGAGUCCUGAAGGAACGUUGAAGACUACGACGUUGAUAGGUCGGGUGUGUAAGCGCAGCGAUGCGUUGAGCUAACCGAUACUAAUGAACCGUGAGGCUUAACCUU